rnacentral:ncRNA from 1 species
AGUUGGUGAAAGUCCAACCUGAGUAAGUGCUAAGACGCUCAGUAUCUGACAGGCAGCUGGUGGAGAAAUCAAUCCUAAGGUUGAAGCUCUCUGACAAAGUAACUCAAAGUUGAGUGCGAGCAACCUAGCAGGUCGUAACAUA